UACGUAGGAGACGAGCGUUGUCCGGAGUUACUGGGCGUAAAGGGCGCGUAGGCGGCCACGCACGUCCGUUGUGAAAUCGCCCGGCUCAACUGGGCGGGGUCAGCGGAUACGGUGUGGCUAGAGCAAGCUAGGGGGCAAUGGAAUUCCCGGUGUAGUGGUGGAAUGCGUAGAUAUCGGGAGGAACACCAGUGGCGAAGGCGGUUGCCUGGAGCUUUGCUGACGCUGAUGCGCGAAAGCGUGGGGAGCGAUCCGG
rnacentral:rRNA from 1 species